GACGAACGCUGGCGGUGUGCUUAACACAUGCCAGUCGAACGGUAAGGCCCUUUCGGGGGUACACGAGUGGCGAACGGGUGAGUAACACGUGAGUAACCUGCCCUCAUCUCUGGGAUAACAGUCGGAAACGGUUGCUAAUACUGGAUAUGAGCUUGCAAGGCAUCUUGUGGGUUGGAAAGAUUUUUUUGGUUGGGGAUGGACUCGCGGCCUAUCAGCUUGUUGGUGAGGUAGUGGCUCACCAAGGCUUCGACGGGUAGCCGGCCUGAGAGGGCGACCGGCCACAUUGGGACUGAGAUACGGCCCAAACUCCUACGGGAGGCAGCAGUGGGGAAUAUUGCACAAUGGACGGAAGUCUGAUGCAGCAACGCCGCGUGCGGGAGGACGGCCUUCGGGUUGUAAACCGCUUUCAAUUGUGACGAAGCUUUUUGUGACGGUAGCAGUAGAAGAAGCACCGGCUAACUACGUG
rnacentral:rRNA from 1 species